CAGGACGAACGCUGGCGGCGUGCUUAACACAUGCAAGUCGAACGAGAAUCUACUGAAAGAGUUUUCGGACAAUGGAAGUAGAGGAAAGUGGCGGACGGGUGAGUAACGCGUGAGGAACCUGCCUUGAAGAGGGGGACAACAGUUGGAAACGACUGCUAAUACCGCAUGACGCAUAGAGGUCGCAUGAUCUUUAUGCCAAAGAUUUAUCGCUGAAAGAUGGACCCGCGUCUGAUUAGCUUGUUGGUGAGGUAACGGCCCACCAAGGCGACGAUCAGUAGCCGGCCUGAGAGGGUGAACGGCCACAUUGGGACUGAGACACGGCCCAAACUCCUACGGGAGGCAGCAGUGGGGAAUAUUGCACAAUGGGGGAAACCCUGAUGCAGCGACGCCGCGUGAGUGAUGAAGUAUUUCGGUAUGUAAAACUCUAUCAGCAGGGAAGAUAAUGACGGUACCUGACUAAGAAGCACCGGCUAAAUACGUG
rnacentral:rRNA from 1 species